CCUACGGGUGGCAGCAGUGAGGACUAUUGGUCAAUGGGCGGGAGCCUGAACCAGCCAAGUCGCGUGAGGGAUGACGGCCCUAUGGGUUGUAAACCUCUUUUGCCGGGGAGCAAAGUGCCGCACGUGUGCGGUUUGGAGCGUACCCUGAGAAAAAGACUCGGCUAACUCCGUGCCGUCAGCCGCGGUAAUCCGGAGGAUGCGAGCGUUAUCCGGAUUGAUUGGGUUUAAAGGGUGCGUAGGCGGACGCUUAAGUCAGGGGUAAACGUGCGGGGCGCAACCUCGUCGAGCCGUGGAAACUGGGUGCCUUGAGUGGGCGAGAAGUACGCGGAAUGCGUGGUGUAGCGGUGAAAUGCAUAGAUAUCACGCAGAACUCCGAUUGCGAAGGCAGCGUACCGGCGCCCAACUGACGCUGAAGCACGAAGGCGUGGGUAUCGAACAGGAUUAGAUACACGAGUAGUC
rnacentral:rRNA from 1 species